GACGAACGCUGGCGGCGUGCUUAACACAUGCAAGUCGAACGGAAAGGCCCUGCUUUUUUGGGGUGCUCGAGUGGCGAACGGGUGAGUAACACGUGAGUAAGCUGCCCUUGACUUUGGGUUAACUUCAUGAAACUUGGGCCAAUACCGGAUAGGAGCUCCCGCUGCAUGGUGGGGGUGGGAAUGUUUCGGCGGUUGGGGAUGGACUCGCGGCUUAUCAGCUUGUUGGUGGGGUAGUGGCUUACCAAGGCUUUGACGGGUAGCCGGCCUGAGAGGGUGACCGGCCACAUUGGGACUGCGAUACGGCCCAGACUCCUACGGGAGGCAGCGGUGGGGAAUAUUGCACAAUGGGAGGAAGCCUGAUGCAGCAACGCCGCGUGCGGGGUAACGGCCAUCGGGUUGUAAACCGCUUUCGCCUGUGACGAAGCGUGAAUGACGGUAAUGGGUAAAGAAGCACCGGCUAACUACGUG
rnacentral:rRNA from 1 species